UUGAAUUGCCAGCAAAUUGAACUUCAGGAGGAAAGGAAAUGGUAUCUGCCUGAACUGGAGCUUAUGCUGUAGACAUUUCUUUGUGGAAUUCAUCUAAAAACCUGAGUGUUUUGUUCCCCUAGUUGAAUUCUUCAGAGGAAGAGCGAAAGAGCCUUCUAGUUUUCGAACUCUUGAGGCGUGACUGUUUCAAUUUAUCUCCUGCUUACCAGGAAAAGAAUAUUUGAGGACCAUUUGUAAA
rnacentral:lncRNA from 1 species